AUUGAACGCUGGCGGAAUGCUUUACACAUGCGAGCCGAACGGCAGCACGGACUUCGGUCUGGUGGCGAGUGGCGAACGGGUGAGUAAUGUAUCGGAAUGUGCCCAGUCGUGGGGGAUAACGUAGUGAAAAUUACGCUAAUACCGCAUACGAUCUAUGGAUGAAAGCGGGGGAUCGCAAGACCUCGCGCGAUUGGAGCGGCCGAUAUCAGAUUAGGUAGUUGGUGGGGUAAAGGCCCACCAAGCCAACGAUCUGUAGCUGGUCUGAGAGGACGACCAGCCACACUGGAACUGAGACACGGUCCAGACUCCUACGGGAGGCAGCAGUGGGGAAUUUUGGACAAUGGGCGAAAGCCUGAUCCAGCCAUUCCGCGUGCAGGAUGAAGGCCCUCGGGUUGUAAACUGCUUUUGUACAGAACGAAAAGGUUUCUACUAAUACUAGGAGCUCAUGACGGUACUGUAAGAAUAAGCACCGGCUAACUACGUGCCAGCCGCCGCCGUAA
rnacentral:rRNA from 1 species